UGGCUCUGGCAUCGAUGAAGAACGCAGCGAAAUGCGAUAAGUAGUGUGAAUUGCAGAAUUCAGUGAAUCAUCGAAUCUUUGAACGCACAUUGCGCCCUUUGGUAUUCCUUAGGGCAUGCCUGUUCGAGCGUCAUUUGAACAUUCAAGCUCAGCUUGGUGAUGGGUGGUUGUCCUUGCCUCCUUUUGUGCAUGGACUCGCCUCAAAGGCAGUUGGCAGCUCCUCCUUUGGCUCUAAACGCAGCAGAUUUGUGUUUGAAUGCCUUUGGAAGAAGCUUUCCAGUAAGCAAUUCUUAUCAGCUUGACCUCGGAUCAGGUAGGGAUACCCGCUGA
rnacentral:misc_RNA from 1 species